UCUAAGCGGGAAACCCUCCUCAAAACCAGGUCUCGCAACCAGAGCCGUGACAGACCAUCACGUCGAUAGGCCGGAGGUGGAAGUGCAGCAAUGCAUGCAGCCAACCGGUACUAAUCGCUCGAUUGGCUUGAUUUA
rnacentral:rRNA from 1 species